rnacentral:rRNA from 1 species
UACAGAGGUCCCAAGCGUUGUUCGGAUUCAUUGGGCGUAAAGGGUGCGUAGGCGGCGCGGUAAGUCGGGUGUGAAAAUCUCGGAGCUUAACUCCGAAACUGCAUUCGAUACUGCCGUGCUUGAGGACUGGAGAGGAGACUGGAAUUUACGGUGUAGCGGUGAAAUGCGUAGAUAUCGUAAGGAAGACCAGUGGCGAAGGCGGGUCUCUGGACAGUUCCUGACGCUGAGGCACGAAGGUCAGGGGAGCAAACGGG